UAGAUAAUAUAGAAGACAGGACGUUUGGUAGCAUCUCUGGCUGCUGUUGACCUUGUUUUUGGAGUAAAACACGGUGGAAGCUGAAUUAGUGAGGAUGACUCCUGCUCCUGUCAUCUCUAAGCUCCUCACACAUCUUUACCUGCACAUGAGGAAAAUCACUCCUGUAGAAUGCAGAACCUCUGGGGAUUCUGUGGAUCCUGUGGGUUGCAGGGUGGGUCCUACCUAGACCAGGCUGAUCCUGGACCAUCCCACAGAUGCUCCAUCAGAUCUGGAUGUGGGGAGUGUGGAACCCAGAUGUUCAGAGGGAGAUGAUGCCACAUCUGGUCCAGCUGAUGGAAGGUCUUGAAGUUCUCUGACUGGCCUGGACUGAAGAUGGUCGUCUCACUGGAUUUAAGGUUCAGAUGCUCAGUAACAAACUCCACCAAUGAGCCAACAGGGAAGCUUUAGGUUUAUUAAAUGUUGCUAUGAAGGUUUCGCUGUUUUUCUUUGUGAAUGCAAUGAGCUCCAACUGAAACUUAAAUUAGAACUUAGAAGUAAAUCCUUCCAUCUGAAAUGAUUUAGUUGCAUUAAUAACCUCAUAAUAUUCUAAUUUUUAUUCCAGUCUUGGUUGGAAAUAGAAUCUCUGUAUUGAUUCAGGUAAAAACUGAACUUCACAGCAUGUUGGAGCAAAACAACCAGAUGAAAACUGUGAUGGUGUUGGAUUGUCAGACUGUAAUGUUGCAGCUCAAAGCAGCUUUUCUAGCUCAGUUCAUUCUGACAUUCAGCUAUGAAUCAACACAGCAGAUGGUGAUCCAUGCUGUGGAAGUCUCACAUCUCCUGAUUUAAUGGAGCUGCUUUGCACUUUUUACACUGUUUAUUCACCAACACUUUAUUUAAUAAAAGUCUCAUCUAGUUUUUAUGAGGAAUGUGAUGUUUUAAUUUCUCUGUGAAUAACUGCAGUCUAAUGCAACAGCUGGAAUUGUAACAUCUGUCCUGAUAUUGAUCAUGAAGUAUUGAUCAGAAUACUUAUGGUCAGCAGUCAUCCCUGAAAUUUUACAUUAAAAUCUUUACUUGUGUUGUGAACUUUGGUAAGAAGCAGAAACUUUAGCGUUGCCAUGGAUACAUGAGUGUUAAAUUCUGUCCAUGUUUCAUUUUGGGAAAUUUAGUCCAGCAGAUGAGUUUGUUUUUACUGCCAGGUACCAUUCAUUCUCUACAUGAGAACUUU
ensembl:lncRNA